rnacentral:rRNA from 1 species
GAAUUCACUAGUGAUUUGGCGGCGUGGAUAAGACAUGCAAGUCGAACGAGAGAAUUGCUAGCUUGCUAAUAAUUCUCUAGUGGCGCACGGGUGAGUAACACGUGAGUAACCUGCCCCCGAGAGCGGGAUAGCCCUGGGAAACUGGGAUUAAUACCGCAUAGUAUCGAAAGAUUAAAGCAGCAAUGCGCUUGGGGAUGGGCUCGCGGCCUAUUAGUUAGUUGGUGAGGUAACGGCUCACCAAGGCGAUGACGGGUAGCCGGUCUGAGAGGAUGUCCGGCCACACUGGAACUGAGACACGGUCCAGACACCUACGGGUGGCAGCAGUCGAGAAUCAUUCGCAAUGGGGGAAACCCUGAUGGUGCGACGCCGCGUGGGGGAAUGAAGGUCUUCGGAUUGUAAACCCCUGUCAUGUGGGAGCAAAUUAAAAAGAUAGUACCACAAGAGGAAGAGACGGCUAACUCUGUGCCAGCAGCCGCGGUAAUACAGAGGUCUCAAGCGUUGUUCGGAAUCACUGGGCGUAAAGCGUGCGUAGGCUGUUUCGUAAGUCGUGUGUGAAAGGCGCGGGCUCAACCCGCGGACGGCACAUGAUACUGCGAGACUAGAGUAAUGGAGGGGGAACCGGAAUUCACGGUGUAGCAA